ACCCGUGUAGCCCAACUGGUAGAGGCGGCAGUCUCAGACACUGUCUGUUGGAGGUUCGACUCCUCUCACGGGUA
rnacentral:tRNA from 1 species